GACGAACGCUGGCGGCGUGCUUAACACAUGCAAGUCGAACGGAAAGGCCCUGCUUUUGUGGGGUGCUCGAGUGGCGACCGGGUGAGUAACACGUGAGUAACCUGCACUUGACUUUGGGAUAACUUCAGGAAACUGGGGCUAAUACCGGAUAGGAGCUCCUGCUGCAUGGUGGGGGUUGGAAAGUUUCGGCGGUUGGGGAUGGACUCGCGGCUUAUCAGCUUGUUGGUGGGGUAGUGGCUUACCAAGGCUUUGACGGGUAGCCGGCCUGAGAGGGUGACCGGCCACAUUGGGACUGAGAUACGGCACAGACUCCUACGGGAGGCAGCAGUGGGGAAUAUUGCACAAGGGGCGGAAGCCUGAUGCAGCAACGCCGCGUGCGGGAUGACGGCCUGCGGGUUGUAAACCGCAUUCGCCUGUGACGAAGCGUGAGUGACGGUAAUGGGUAAAGAAGCACCGGCUAACUACGUG
rnacentral:rRNA from 1 species